rnacentral:rRNA from 1 species
AUGCAGUCGAACGCUUCUUUUUCCACCGGAGCUUGCUCCACCGGAAAAAGAGGAGUGGCGAACGGGUGAGUAACACGUGGGUAACCUGCCCAUCAGAAGGGGAUAACACUUGGAAACAGGUGCUAAUACCGUAUAACAAUCAAAACCGCAUGGUUUUGAUUUGAAAGGCGCUUUCGGGUGUCGCUGAUGGAUGGACCCGCGGUGCAUUAGCUAGUUGGUGAGGUAACGGCUCACCAAGGCCACGAUGCAUAGCCGACCUGAGAGGGUGAUCGGCCACAUUGGGACUGAGACACGGCCCAAACUCCUACGGGAGGCAGCAGUAGGGAAUCUUCGGCAAUGGACGAAAGUCUGACCGAGCAACGCCGCGUGAGUGAAGAAGGUUUUCGGAUCGUAAAACUCUGUUGUUAGAGAAGAACAAGGAUGAGAGUAACUGUUCAUCCCUUGACGGUAUCUAACCAGAAAGCCACGGCUAACUACGUGCCAGCAGCCGCGGUAAUACGUAGGUGGCAAGCGUUGUCCGGAUUUAUUGGGCGUAAAGCGAGCGCAGGCGGUUUCUUAAGUCUGAUGUGAAAGCCCCCGGCUCAACCGGGGAGGGUCAUUGGAAACUGGGAGACUUGAGUGCAGAAGAGGAGAGUGGAAUUCCAUGUGUAGCGGUGAAAUGCGUAGAUAUAUGGAGGAACACCAGUGGCGAAGGCGGCUCUCUGGUCUGUAACUGACGCUGAGGCUCGAAAGCGUGGGGAGCAAACAGGAUUAGAUACCCUGGUAGUCCACGCCGUAAACGAUGAGUGCUAAGUGUUGGAGGGUUUCCGCCCUUCAGUGCUGCAGCUAACGCAUUAAGCACUCCGCCUGGGGAGUACGACCGCAAGGUUGAAACUCAAAGGAAUUGACGGGGGCCCGCACAAGCGGUGGAGCAUGUGGUUUAAUUCGAAGCAACGCGAAGAACCUUACCAGGUCUUGACAUCCUUUGACCACUCUAGAGAUAGA